AUGAAGCACCAAGUCAUAGUUAAAUGUCCCAUAAACACGUCUGACGGCUUGUUUCCACGGUUCAUGCAGAAGCUGGAAGCGACGACCGUGGAUCCAGUCCAGAUGUGGAGAACUGCAGCUUCUGGGCCGGUCCUGCAUCAGAUGUCAGAAAAGCAGCAGCGAUAUCACUCAAGUCGCUGCUGGGACUCUGGAGACGCAGCGAGACUGAGAUGUUGUGACAAAGAUGUCACAGACGAGGCAGGAAUCCUGCAGCUCGGAGGCUCGUGGUGCUGCAGCGGAGCGGGCGCCUCCUCAGCCUCCGGUGUCGGCAUCCGUUGGCCUGCUGCAGCUGCAGCCCGAGCGGAACCAAAGAACCUGGACUGUUUAACGGAGACGUCUAGACAGGUUUUGACCUUCACGCCUAAUGCGGCGCUCGGCCCCAGUUUUGGUCGGACUCGGCAGCAACAGGUGGGAGAGACGAUGAGGAUGAGGAUGAGUCCUGCUGUCAUAGAGACGGCGUGUGAUCACCGCUGCUUCUUAAAUCAGUUCAGUUCCUGCUGCUUUGUACUUCUCUGCGUUUCAGAGGGCAAAUACUGA
rnacentral:lncRNA from 1 species